rnacentral:rRNA from 1 species
UGGGGAAUUUUGGACAAUGGGCGCAAGCCUGAUCCAGCAAUGCCGCGUGCAGGAAGAAGGCCUUCGGGUUGUAAACUGCUUUUGUCAGGGAAGAAAUCCUCUGGGUUAAUACCUCGGGGGGAUGACGGUACCUGAAGAAUAAGCACCGGCUAACUACGUGCCAGCAGCCGCGGUAAUACGUAGGGUGCGAGCGUUAAUCGGAAUUACUGGGCGUAAAGCGUGCGCAGGCGGUUGUGCAAGACAGGUGUGAAAUCCCCGGGGCUUAACCUGGGAACUGCACUUGUGACUGCACGGCUAGAGUACGGUAGAGGGGGGAUGGAAUUCCGCGUGUAGCAGUGAAAUGCGUAGAUAUGCGGAGGAACACCGAUGGCGAAGGCAAUCCCCUGGACCUGUACUGACGCUCAUGCACGAAAGCGUGGGGAGCAAACAGGAUUAGAUACCCUGGUAGUCCACGCCCUAAACGAUGUCAACUGGUUGUUGGACGGCUUGCUGUUCAGUAACGAAGCUAACGCGUGAAGUUGACCGCCUGGGGAGUACGGCCGCAA